CUAGAGCUUGGCUCUGACUCUCUAAUAUAAUAGUGACAAAAGACUACACAUGGUUUCUUUCAACAGCGGUGAGUAAAAAAAUUUAUUGAAUUCUUCUAGAAAAGCUAGCUCUUUAAGUUUCAUCAGUAUUAUACUUUUAAUGAUACUAUAAGCCCUGCUCACUAACACCAGUGUUUAAUAUUAACAAAGAGACGAAAGUCUGCAUUAGAUAAGUUUCCAGGUCCGGUUAAUUUGGUGCCAGCAUCCGCGGUUACACCAAAGAACCAAGUUAUAUUUCAAGGUAAAAAGGUGGUUAGGCAGCAACAGUUUCUUUAUUUUAGCUCUUAGUACUGUUAGACAAAAAGUAAAAUUUGCAAUUUACCACUUAUUUUAUAAAGACCUAAAUACACUUCACGCUGAAGCCACGAAUUCUAAGAAGGAAACUAGGAUUAGAUACCCUACUAUUCUUAGCUAUAAAUUAAAUUUAUUUACCAGAGUACUACGAACAUUAAGUUUAAAACUCAAAGAGCUUGGCGGUGCUUUAGACUCCUCAGGGGAACCUGUCCCGUAAUCGACAGUCCACGAACCAACCUCACCUUUUUCUCGCAAAGUCAGUAUGUAUACCGUCGUCGCCAGGUAACUUUUCAAAAUAUAGAAGUUAGCAAUCAAAAAAUUAAUUUUCCACGUCAGAUCAAGGUGCAGCCUAUGGAAAGGAGCGGAUGGGUUACAAUUAACACUUAUAACCACGGAUUUAACUUUUAACAAGUUUCUGAAGGCGGACUUGAAAGUAAAGCCUAGUAGCUAAAUGCCUUGAAUCAAGCUCUGAAGCGUGCACACAUCGCCCGUCGCUCUCGUUGAAAAAUGAGAUAAGUCGUAACACAGUAGGGGUAAUGGAAGUUGCCCCUAAAUGAAA
rnacentral:rRNA from 1 species